CUAAUGGUCGUCUCACGCCGAACUGCGCAUGUGCGGGCCGUCAACUCAAAGGCACUGCUUCGAUAUAAACUUGUUUUUGACAAAAAAUGAAAAAGUGUCAGUUCACCACUUUCACAAGGUUGCUGUAAUAACAGGUUCAACUACUUAAGAAAUUGUCUCGAAUCUAGGUUUUGCCUUUUGAUUUCGAGAAAAUGAACAACUAAUGAAGAUGUUUUCACUUCUCUCAUUGACUUCUCAAGCCCCAAACCCCGGCAUGUUCUGUUUACUAUUUCAGAAGCGUUCCUGGAUGUCUCGCGAUGUUGCGCCUCUGGGUUUAGAAACUCUGUGAUUUGGUCUAUAAAACAGGGUGUAACACCCCAUCUACAUCUAGGUAGAGACACAUAUACGUAUGUUGUAUACCUGGCUCCUAUUUCGAACAUCUACUUGUAAUUUUGUCUGGUUGACAUCCAUUAAACUUCGUUGAUUUAAGGUAGACCACAGAAGCCACAUCCCUGAUUGGCAGAUGAGUGGCAACCCUGAUUAGAAGCACCUGCUGCUCAUCGGUUCUUUACAAAUGUUGUUUUGAAUUAGAAUAAAGUUGUACCUAAACACCGAAGAAGGCUGUAAAGCUGAAACAUUUGUGUAUGCUAUCCCUGAUGCAGUGAAAAUAAUUAAACAAAUUGAGUGAUCUUUAUGCUAUAAUUUACUGAUGCAUUAUUGCGACUUCAAAAGCACUGGAACGCAAUCACGUCUUAUUUACACCUUCCACAACUUGGAAAGAGAUUCAGAGGAAGACAACAUUACUACUUUACACUCCCAGCACCAUUUCACUUGAACAGACAAAUGAGAAAAUAGAUUUUCACAAAUCAAUUAAGAAUACAUUAUUUACAAAUGUUUAUUUACAGUGUUUCUAGAGUAGAAACACAGAGGCUGGUGGCAGUUAUAUUGUCUCAAUGUAUUUAAAGAAAUUACAAAGUUAGCCUUGUUCGAUCAUCCUGUUUAGUCAUGCUGUUGGGUCAGUGUUGAGAUGCAUGUUUGAUCACAAAUACCUUAGCUUCUACGGAGCCUAAGAACACUUAUAUAUAUAUUUUUAAAUGUAGUCGAAGCAGACACACACAUUUUCUUCAGGAAACAGUACCAAAUAUACUGUAAAAAAAAGUACUGUUUCCGGGAGCAAAAGCAUUCACUGUCUGUUUUUGGUUAUUUUCAUAUCUCAUCUCUAAGAAAGUCAGAGACCUACAAGAUCAACAAGAGAAUGGGUAGCGAUAAAUCAAAAAACCGAGCGGAUAAGGCAGAGAAAGACCUCAAUCAAGCCAAAACGGAAAAAAAGAAAGUGAAGAAGGGAAAGACGACUGAAAACGAUUACAACCAACUCCUUGCUAAGAACGUGAGACUGGAAACAGAACAAAAGAUGGAAGAAGAACGAAGACAGGAGCUCGAGAAGGAAAGACUACAAUUAAUGGAACACAAUAGACAGCGAGAGAAAGAUGAAAGGACAAGAAUUAAGCAGGAAAAAGAGAUUGUAAAAGGAGAUCAGAACACUGUAUAAAAAAGGGCAUAAACUGUUUAAUUUAUCCACAAAAUGUAUUAUUGAACAAAGCACACAAACAUUGUAAACUUUUAAUAUCCACAUUUGCACUGCCUGUUUUAUUUUCCUCAUUCUGUGUUGAAGUGGCGAGUGGUUUUAUAACCCUGUUAGCCGUCUUUUGGUUUUAUUUACCUGGCUGCUGCCACCAAAUGCUUUUCAAACCAAUGCCUGUCAAUAUCUGAGAAUCCUCUGUAGCUUUGCAAUAAAUAGAUUCUAUUGAUG